rnacentral:tRNA from 1 species
AAAUCUGAAAUAAAAAAUUAUAUUCAGUUUCGACCUGAAAUUUAAGUUAACAAUUAACUCUGAUUUA